AGAGUUUGAUCCUGGCUCAGAGCGAACGCUGGCGGCGUGCCUAACACAUGCAAGUCGAGCGAGAAAGGGAGCUUCGGCUCCUGAGUACAGCGGCGAACGGGUGCGUAACACGUGGGUGAUCUGUCCUCGAGAUGGGGAUAACCCAGCGAAAGUUGGGCUAAUACCGGAUAAGACCACAGGAGGAAACUCUAGGGGUCAAAGGGCGCUCUCUCCGGGGAGCAUCCUCUUGAGGAGGAGCCCGCGGCCUAUCAGCUUGUUGGUAGGGUAACGGCCUACCAAGGCAAAGACGGGUAGCUGGUCUGAGAGGAUGACCAGCCACACGGGGACUGAGACACGGCCCCGACUCCUACGGGAGGCAGCAGUGGGGAAUAUUGGGCAAUGGGGGAAACCCUGACCCAGCGACGCCGCGUGGGUGAUGAAGGCCUUCGGGUCGUAAAGCCCUGUCGGGAGGAACGAACGAUCUCGCGGUCAAUAGCCGCGAGAUGUGACGGUACCUCCGAAGGAAGCACCGGCCAACUCCGUGCCAGCAGCCGCGGUAAGACGGAGGGUGCAAGCGUUGCUCGG
rnacentral:rRNA from 1 species